rnacentral:rRNA from 1 species
UGGGGAAUUUUGGACAAUGGGGGCAACCCUGAUCCAGCAAUGCCGCGUGAGUGAAGAAGGCCUUCGGGUUGUAAAGCUCUUUUGUCAGGGAAGAAACGGUAGUAGCGAAUAACUACUACUAAUGACGGUACCUGAAGAAUAAGCACCGGCUAACUACGUGCCAGCAGCCGCGGUAAUACGUAGGGUGCAAGCGUUAAUCGGAAUUACUGGGCGUAAAGCGUGCGCAGGCGGUUGUGUAAGUCAGAUGUGAAAUCCCCGGGCUCAACCUGGGAAUUGCAUUUGAGACUGCACGGCUAGAGUGUGUCAGAGGGGGGUAGAAUUCCACGUGUAGCAGUGAAAUGCGUAGAUAUGUGGAGGAAUACCGAUGGCGAAGGCAGCCCCCUGGGAUAACACUGACGCUCAUGCACGAAAGCGUGGGGAGCAAACAGGAUUAGAUACCCAAGUAGUCCCUGAGCGGGCUGGCAAGGCGCAU